rnacentral:rRNA from 1 species
GACGUAGGGCGCGAGCGUUGUCCGGAUUUAUUGGGCGUAAAGAGCUCGUAGGCGGCUUGUUGCGUCGACUGUGAAAACCCGCGGCUUAACUGCGGGCUUGCAGUUGAUACGGGCAGGCUAGAGUUCGGUAGGGGAGUGUGGAAUUCCCGGUGUAGCGGUGAAAUGCGCAGAUAUCGGGAGGAACACCGAUGGCGAAGGCAGCACUCUGGGCCGGCACUGACGCUGAGGAGCGAAAGCGUGGGGAGCGAACAGG